AUGGACGUGGUGGGGAUGGUGGGGCGCGGGGUGGGGCGUGUCCUCUCGCGGGGCAUGUACUCCGUCGCCACGCCCUUCCACCCUUUCGGCGGCGCCGUCGACAUCAUCGUGGUUGAGCAGCCCGACGGCUCCUACCGCAGCACCCCCUGGUAUGUCCGGUUUGGCAAGUUCCAGGGAGUUCUCAAGCGUAACGAGAAGGUCGUCACCAUCGCCGUCAAUGGCGUGGACGCCAGCUUCCACAUGCUGCUCGACAACUCUGGCCAGGCCUACUUCAUGCGGGAGCUCGUGCCUGGCGGUGAGGACUCUGAAACCGCUGCAGAAGAAGCUACGAGCGAGCCUGAAACUCCUCUGCGCAGUAAGAGUGACGGGGAGCUUUACAGCCAGUUGGUCGGCCCAGAGUUGAAUGAGGAUCAGGAGGAACAAAAUGGAGAGGAGUUUGAUUCAUAUGGCUAUUCCAAGUUGGAGGAGGCAGAAGAUUUGGCAAAUCAAGCUGGUGGGGGUGGGGGCAAUUCAGAGAUGCUUUUGGUUAGUGUGAACGGGUGUGUUCUAACUGCUCCCAUUUCUUCAACUGAGGAGAAUAUGGAGGAUGUGCAACUAAGUGACCCACAGUUCCAUUUGGGGCCUGGGGAGAGCUCGAGUGGCGACCUCAGCCGCGGUGGCGAGGUGUGGGAAUCUGGCAUUUUGGAUGGUUUAUACAUAUCACAGGAAAAGGCUAAGUUUGAUUCUGAACAUCCAUCAGCGGCUUUGGAGGACCUUCGGGAGGUAUCAGUUUCGAAGGAUGAAUCGCAUGACAUCCCUGUUAAUAAACAUGAAAGCCUCCAUGUCUCUGUUAAUGAAGACCAGACCUGUGUUGCAUUGACCAAUGAAGACAAGGUUCAGAGUGUGUCACAGUCAGAGAACAAUGGUCCGAAUUAUCAACCCUUGGCCGUGGAAGAUGAAGGUCAUGAAGUUUCAGGGAGCAAUGGUGAGGGCUAUCAACCCUUUCCCAAUAAAGGCGAAGCUCUUGAUGUGGCGGAGAACAAUGAUGAUGCUUGUCAACCAUUGACCAAUGAAGAUGAGACUUGUGAUAUUCCACUGGUUCAGAACAACGAGGCCAGCAAGUCCCCGUCUGAGGCAGGCAAGGUUUGUGAUGCCAGCAAUGAGAUUAUUGAGGGUGAGGUUCAGGGUUUAUCACAGUCAGGGAACAAUGGUCCUGACUAUCAAAUGCUGAAUGUGGCAGAUGGGGCUUCAGGGAGCAACGCUGAGGUUGAUCCACUCUUGCCCAAUAAAGAAGAGUCCCUUGAUAUCUUGGAGAACAAUGAUGAGGGUUCUCAACCAUUGACCAAUGAAGAUGAGACUUCUGAUAUUCCACUGAUUCAGAACAACGAGGCCUGCAAGUCCCCAUCCAAGGCAGGUAAGGUUUGUGAUGCCAGCAAUGAGAUUAUUGAGGAUGAGGUUCAGGGUUUAUCACAGUCAGGUAACAAUGGCCCGAAUUAUCAACCGCUGAAUGUGGGAGAUGAGGCUAAUGAUAUUUCUGAUAUUCCACUGGUUCAGAACAACGAGGCCUGCAAGUCCCCAUCCAAGGCAGGCAAGGUUUGUGAUGCCAGCAAUGAGAUUAUUGAGGAUGAGGUUCAGGGUUUAUCACAGUCAGGUAACAAUGGUCCGAAUAAUCAAACGCUAAAUGUGGAAGAUGAGGCUAAUGAUAUUUCAGGGAGCAACGCUGAGGUUGAUCCACUCUUGCCCAAUAAAGAAGAGUCCCUUGAUAUCUUGGAGAACAAUGACGAGGGUUCUCAACCAUUGACCAAUGAAGAUGAGGUUCAGAAUGAUGAGGCAUGCGAAUCCCCAUCUAUGUCCGGCGAAAUUUGUGAUGAAAGCAAUGAGAAUAUUCAGGCUAGUUUUAGCAGAUUUGAUACUUUCAGAAGUUGCUUGGAUUUGACAUCACAAGAUGAUGGAGAUUCAGGAACUGAACUCUUUUCACCUGAAUUUGAUCACCAGAGGGAUUCUGAGCUUAGUCUGAGUAUCCGUUCCGAUAUUGACAUAGAUCUGGGAGAAGAUGGAAGUGAAACUGCACACUGUGAUCAAUCCAAUCAAUUAAAGCAUAUAGAGGAAGUGGAUGUUUCAUCAGUUACUUCAGACGAUAAUAUAACACGCAGCGAAGACUGCUCUCCUGUCUAUGGCAAGGCAGCUGACUUGUCCUGUGGAGGGGGUUCUGAUGACAGGAGCAAAGAUACCACCCCUUCUAAUAGUGGAGCUUGUAAAUCUGAUCGCUUGCGGAUGUCCCCAAGCAGUGACAGAGACAAAUUAGGAAGCAUUCCGGAGAACCCAACUGCUGAAGAGGAAGUAAAUAAAGAAGAGCACCCCCAAUUACAGAAGGGUUUGGGCUUUGAGAUUUCUCUGUGUGGGCACUUGCUACGGCCAGGAAUGGGCCAAACAUCUGCUGAUGAAGUGUUCCAACAACAUCUUGUCCCUGAGGAGGAUUUCAAAUUGUCUGGACCAUCAAUAAUAAAAAAUGCAAACCUUAUUGUCAGAAUUGACCGUAACUAUUUCACAUGGAGUAAAGUUUCUCAUGUUGUUCUUGGGAAGGCUGUAUUUGGUCCAAACUUCUGUGUAGAACCUAUCGAUGCUAUUCCAGUUGAACGCCAAGAAACACCCAAUUCGAGAGAUGAUUCUCUUGGGAUGUCCCCAAGCCGGAGAUGGAGGCUGUGGCCUAUUCCAUUUAGGAUAUCAAGAUCUCUUCAACGCAGUAAUAGUGAUUCUUCUGAGGAUAUUUUUCUUGACACAGAGACAGUCUUAAGUCCUAUGGAUGAGCAAGCCCCAGCCAACAAUAAAGAUCAGUCACCAAGAAAGCAAUUUGUGCGGACUUUAAUUCCCACUAGCGAACAGGUGGCAUCUCUAGAUCUUAAGGAGGGACAAAAUAUUGUCACAUUUAGCUUCUGCACCAGAGUUUUUGGGAAGCAGCAGGUUGAUGCACAUAUCUAUGUGUGGAAAUGGAAUGCAAAAAUUGUUAUAUCCGACGUGGAUGGAACCAUCACAAGGUCUGAUGUCUUGGGCCAGGUCAUGCCUUUAGUCGGACGUGAUUGGAGUCAGUCUGGUGUUGCUCGACUCUUUUCUGCAAUAAAGGAAAAUGGUUAUCAACUAAUAUUCCUUAGCGCUAGAGCCAUUGUCCAGGCAUAUCUGACAAAAAACUUCCUCUUCAAUCUAAAACAGGAUGGGAAAGUACUGCCUAAUGGACCUGUUGUAAUUUCGCCUGAUGGAUUGUUCCCUUCGCUCUACCGAGAAGUCAUACGAAGAGCACCACAUGAGUUCAAGAUUGCCUGUCUGGAGGACAUUAAAGCACUUUUUCCUUCCGACUACAAUCCAUUUUAUGCUGGAUUUGGCAACAGAGACACUGACGAGCUUACAUACAAAAAGAUGGGAAUUUCGAAAGGCAAGAUUUUUAUCAUCAACCCCAAGGGUGAAGUGGCCAUCAAUAGUUCAGUUGAUGUGAAGUCCUAUACCUCCUUGCAUACCCUUGUCAAUGACAUGUUCCCUCCAACAACUUUGGUUGAGCAGGAAGACUACAACUCCUGGAAUUAUUGGAAGGUGCCGCUGCCAGACAUUGAUUUGUAG
rnacentral:rRNA from 1 species